AGAUUGAACGCUGGCGGCAUGCCUUACACAUGCAAGUCGAGCGGCAGCGCGGGGGCAACCCUGGCAGCGAGCGGCGAACGGGUGAGUAAUACAUCGGAACGUGUCCUUUUGUGGGGGAUAACCAGUCGAAAGACUGGCUAAUACCGCAUGAGAUCGCAAGAUGAAAGCAGGGGACCGCAAGGCCCUGGCGCGAGAGGAGCGGCCGAUGUCGGAUUAGCUAGUUGGUGGGGUAACGGCCUACCAAGGCAACGAUCCGUAGCUGGUCUGAGAGGACGACCAGCCACACUGGGACUGAGACACGGCCCAGACUCCUACGGGAGGCAGCAGUGGGGAAUUUGGACAAGUGGGCGCAAGCCUGAUCCAGCCAUGCCGCGUGUGUGAAGAAGGCCGUUCGGUUAGUAACGCACGUUUCGGACGGAACGAAAUCGCGCGAGUUAUAGUUCGCGUGAUGACGUACGUAAGAAGAAG
rnacentral:rRNA from 1 species